UGUAAUCCAGCUUCGGGCAGAGGGCCAA
rnacentral:sRNA from 1 species